CGCCCAGGCAGGGAGAGUGACACGUCAGAAUGACUCCCUGGAGAGCACUGUUCCCCUUUCAUCAGCACAGGGACUCAGAAGACCCCUCCGUCUGCCCUGCUCCUGCCAUGAGUGGUGGCCUCCUGUGCUGGGUGGCUUUUUGUCUGUUGCAGGCAGGAGCAGUGAAUGCUGGAGUCACUCAGACCCCAAAAUUCCACAUCCUGGAGACAGGACAGAACACGACACUGAGAUGUGCCCAGGAUAUGAACCACGACUCUAUGUACUGGUAUCGACAAGACCUGGGACAUGGGCUGAGGCUGAUCCGCUACUCAGCUGGUGCUGGUGUCACUGAAAAGAGAGAUGUUCCCGAUGGGUACAGAGUCUCCAGAUCAAAUACAGAGAACUUCUCCCUCACACUGGAGUCUGCUACGCCCUCCCAGACAUCUGUGUACUUCUGUGCCAGCAGUUAGUCCACAGCGCUGCACGGCUGACUCCUCUCUGCACAAAAAGCCAGGGGCAAGCCCUGCAGCCCCGACUCAGCUGAGCCCUUUGCAGACUCUUAGCCCAGGGAGAACCUGGAGCCCCAAGUGGCUCGUGUGUGCAGUGUGAACCCAGAAUGUGCUGAGGUCCACCUCCAGGGCGGUCUCAGCCAGGCCUGGCCCUGACCGCAGGACCUCGGGGGGACAUGUCUCCACCAUUGCUUUCUAUCUUUCCUCUGUAGCUGCCUCAUUAGCUGGGAAGGUACUUCCCCAGCUCUGACAUUUCUAGUCAUGGGCUUGAAGCCGAUGUCUCCAGGAGGGAAAGUCAUUGGUAA